rnacentral:misc_RNA from 4 species
AACGCACAUUGCGCCCAUUAGUAUUCUAGUGGGCAUGCCUGUUCGAGCGUCAUUUCAACCCUUAAGCCUAGCUUAGUAUUGGGAAUCGACUGUAUUGUCGUUCCUCAAAUUCAACGGCGGAUUUAUAGCAAUCUCUGAACGUAGUAAUCUUUAUCUCGUUUUUGAAAUACUAUAAACCUCAGCCGCUAAACCCCCCAAUUUUAAUGGUUGACCUCGGAUCAGGUAGGAAUACCCGCUGAACUUAA